rnacentral:tRNA from 1 species
AGUUAAUUAGCUUAUGUAAAGCAUUUACUUUGAAAGUAAGAGAAAGAGAUAUUAAAAUUUAUUAGCUU